CAGGAAGUAGAAGGGUUCUAUUUUGGAUGUGGCAACUGAUAAGCCUGUUAAGGCCCCGCUUCCUUGGGGAGCAGCUGUGGAAAGGGGUCGUCCCGUUCGCUGGCUAGCAGUUGGGGACCAAAUGAGGGAGGCGCGCUGCAGAGUCCGUAAUCCAGCAUCUGAUGAGCAUCCGGAGAGAGCGGACCUUGCCAGUCUCACCGUUCCGAGGCGGUAGAAGCGGUUAUGCAAGUCGCGUUGUGGGGCGCCCCCCUCCCUCAGAUCACCUGGACAGCUGUCUGCUUACAUGUGACAAUGCAGCCGAGUGCCACUUUCGGGCCAGGAGAACACUGUGAUCAGAUGAGAGAUGGGUUCACACCGCUGCAGUGACCCUUUGGAAGAGGAAGCAACUGGACAUUUCCUCUGCACAUUGUCUUUCUGCAAAAUUACAAGUAAGGAAUAUUUGUACUGGAUUGAUUUUCCUUCCUUGUAUGCCAGCAAAAACUUGCUAAGUUUAAGAGAAAUGGAG
rnacentral:lncRNA from 1 species